GAGACAGUCUUGCUCUGUCGCUCAGGCUGGAGUGCAGUGGUGCGAUCUCAACUCACUGCAACCUCCACCUGCCAGGUUCAAGUGAUUCUCGCACCUCAGCCUCCUGAGUAGCUGGGAUUACAGGUGUCUUGCUGUGUUUUCCAGGCUGGCCUCAAACUCCUUGGAUCAACUGAUCCUUCUGCCCCAGCUUCCCGAGUAGCUAGAAGUACAUACAUGUGAAUCCAGAAGGAAACUACUAGAGUUAAUAAAUUCAGCACAGCUUCAGGAUACAAGACCAACACACAAAAAUUAGUUGUUUUUCUGUACAUGUACAAUGAACAAUCUAAAAAGGAAAUUAAGAAGGCUAUUCCAUUUAAAUAGCGCUAAACAAAUAAAAUGCUUAGGAAUAAAUUUAACCAAGGAAGUGAAAGACCUGCAUGCUGAAUACUACCAAACAUUGGUAAAAGAAACUUAAAAAGACCUAGGUAAAUGGAAAGAUCCUUAGUUCCUGGGUCGGCAGACUCAAUAUUGCUAAAAUGCCAGUCCUAUUCAAAACAAUCUACAGAUUCAACACAAUCCCCAUCAAAAUUCUGACAACCAUUUUUCCCCCCAGAAAUAGAGAAGCCAAUCCUUAAAUUCAAAUGGAAUUGCAAGGAGUCUCAGAUGACCAAAAUAAUCUUGAAAAAGACGAACAGAGUUGGAGGACUCAGUAUUAUUCAGCCAUAAAAAGGAAUGAAGUCUGAUACAUGCUACAAGGAUGAACCUUGAAAACAUUAUGCCUAGUGAAAUGAGCCAGUCACAAAAAGACAAAUAUACGGUUCCACUUAUAUGAAAUCUUUAGAAUAGGAAAGUUCACAGAGACAAAGCAGAUUAAAGGUUAACUGGCAAUGGGGGGCUGGUGGUGAUGGGGAGUUACUGCAGAAUGAUAACAGAGUUCCUGUUUGGGGUGAUGAAAAAUAUUUGGGAACAGAUAGUUGUGAUGGCUGCAUGACAGUGUGGAUGUAAUUAAUGCCACCAAAUUAUACAUGUAAGAGUUGUUAUAAUAGCAUAUUUUAUGUCAUAUAUAUUUUACCACAAUAAAAUAUUUUUCACAAAGUAAGAGAUUUAAAAACCAAUCAAAGCUUUUUACCUGCAGCAUGAUAUGACUGCAAGCAGUAUGAUGAGAACAUAUGCCAGGUGAAAACAAAGGGACUGCUGUCACAGACAUUGUCUCAAAUUCCAGUUGUCUGGAAAGUGAUGUAAAGUGGACCACCUGCCACAAAAAUAUACUCAGGUAUAUAACUUUUAAAUCCAGUAUUUGUGUGUGAGUUACAAAAACUAUUGAAACACUUUAUGUUAGUGAUGAAACAAUGUGUUAAAAUUCAGUAAAAGAUCAAAAUACAUGGAAUAUGAUUUUAGAAGAGAGAAAAUAAUGUAGAUUUGCUUCUUCCCACAAAUCUAUGAGCUCCUCCUAAAGUUUCUUUCAGAUUCAAAGUUUAAGUAAAACUCCUGAAUAUAAAGAAUCCGAAUUCACAAAAAAAGAAAAACAAAAAGGAGCUCUUGGUUGGGCGCAGUGGCUCACACCUGUAAUCCCAGCACUUUGGGAGGUUGUGGUGGGCAGAUUACUUGAAGCCAGGAGUUCGAGACCAGCCUGGCCAGCAGCAUGGUGAAACCCCACCUCUGCUGAAAAU
rnacentral:lncRNA from 10 species